ACGACCAGGGCUACACACGUGCUACAAUGGUCGGUACAAAGGGUUGCUACCUCGCGAGAGGAUGCUAAUCUCAAAAAGCCGAUCGUAGUCCGGAUCGCAGUCUGCAACUCGACUGCGUGAAGUCGGAAUCGCUAGUAAUCGCGGAUCAGAAUGCCGCGGUGAAUACGUUCCCGGGCCUUGUACACACCGCCCGUCACACCAUGGGAGUUUGUUGCACCAGAAGUAGGUAGUCUAACCGUAAGGAGGACGCUUACCACGGUGUGGCCGAUGACUGGGGUGAAGUCGUAACAAGGUAGCCGUAGGGGAACCUGCGGUUGGAUCACCUCCUUA
rnacentral:rRNA from 1 species